UUUUUGCGUUAGGGAUUGCAGUGGAAAUCCUUUUUGGGAGAAACGAGCAAACUACCCCAGAGCAAGAACCUGAAAUAUUUAAAAAAACUUCAAUUUCAAGACAAACCAUAAAUCAUUAAAUCUCGAUUAUCGAGCAAAAAGAUUGUAGCGUAAAGCCCGACCCGCC
rnacentral:sRNA from 1 species